AACGAACGCUGGCGGCGUGCUUAACACAUGCAAGUCGAACGGAAUUAGGGGCUUGCUCCUAAUUUAGUGGCGCACGGGUGAGUAACGCGUGGAUAACCUACCCUGGUAUCUGGGAUAACAUCUCGAAAGGGGUGCUAAUACCGGAUAAGCCCACGGUCUCUUCGGGGAUUGCGGGAAAAGAUGGCCUCUAUUUAUAAGCUAUCGUAUCAGGAUGGGUCCGCGUACCAUUAGCUAGUUGGUGGUGUAAUGGACCACCAAGGCGACGAUGGUUAGCUGGUCUGAGAGGAUGAUCAGCCACACUGGAACCGAGACACGGUCCAGACUCCUACGGGAGGCAGCAGUGGGGAAUUUUGCGCAAUGGGGGAAACCCUGACGCAGCAACGCCGCGUGAGUGAUGAAGGCCUUCGGGUCGUAAAGCUCUGUCAGAGGGGAAGAAGUGAUAGUGUGCUAAUACCACAUUAUCUUGACGGUACCCUCAAAGGAAGCACCGGCUAACUCCGUGCCAGCAGCCGCGGUAAUACGGAGGGUGCAAGCGUUGUUCGGAUUUAUUGGGCGUAAAGCGCGUGUAGGCGGUCUUUUAAGUCUGAUGUGAAAGCCCCGGGCUCAACCCGGGAAGUGCAUUGGAAACUGGGAGACUUGAAUACGGGAGAGGGUAGUGGAAUUCCUAGUGUAGGAGUGAAAUCCGUAGAUAUUAGGAGGAACACCGGUGGCGAAGGCGGCUACCUGGACCGAUAUUGACGCUGAGACGCGAAAGCGUGGGGAGCAAACAGGAUUAGAUACCCUGGUAGUCCACGCCGUAAACGAUGAGUACUAGGUGUUGCGGGUAUUGACCCCUGCAGUGCCGCAGCUAACGCAUUAAGUACUCCGCCUGGGAAGUACGGUCGCAAGACUA
rnacentral:rRNA from 1 species